UACCACCCUUUAAUGUUUGAUGUUCUAACGUGGACCCGUGAUCCGGGUUGCGGACAGUGUCUGGUGGGUAGUUUGACUGGGGCGGUCUCCUCCUAAAGAGUAACGGAGGAGCACGAAGGUUGGCUAAUCCUGGUCGGACAUCAGGAGGUUAGUGCAAUGGCAUAAGCCAGCUUGACUGCGAGCGUGACGGCGCGAGCAGGUGCGAAAGCAGGUCAUAGUGAUCCGGUGGUUCUGAAUGGAAGGGCCAUCGCUCAACGGAUAAAAGGUACUCCGGGGAUAACAGGCUGAUACCGCCCAAGAGUUCAUAUCGACGGCGGUGUUUGGCACCUCGAUGUCGGCUCAUCACAUCCUGGGGCUGAAGUAGGUCCCAAGGGUAUGGCUGUUCGCCAUUUAAAGUGGUACGCGAGCUGGGUUUAGAACGUCGUGAGACAGUUCGGUCCCUAUCUGCCGUGGGCGCUGGAGAACUGGGGGGGGCUGCUCCUAGUACGAGAGGACCGGAGUGGACGCAUCACUGGUGUUCGGGUUGUCAUGCCAAUGGCACUGCCCGGUAGCUAAAUGCGGAAGAGAUAAGUGCUGAAAGCAUCUAAGCACGAAACUUGCCCCGAGAUGAGUUCUCCCUGAGACUUAGAGUCUCCUGAAGGAACGUUGAAGACGACGACGUUGAUAGGCCGGGUGUGUAAGCGCAGCGAUGCGUUGAGCUAACCGGUACUAAUGAACCGUGAGGCUUAACCUUACAACGCCGAAG
rnacentral:rRNA from 1 species